GGGCGGUUAGCUCAGCUGGAAGAGCACCUCGUUUACACCGAGGGGGUCGGCGGUUCGAUCCCGUCACCGCCCACCA
rnacentral:tRNA from 1 species